UUCUGGGGUGCAGCCGCAGGCCCCGUCGGAGAGGCCCUCCACGGCCAACCCCUUCUUCUGCUUGCGGGGCAAAAGCCCCCAGUCCAUCCUUGAAAGGGAGGUCCACGAAGCCCAGGAGCGAGAGCGGGAACUCCAAAGGCAGAGGCUCAAGAUCUACGGCUCGGCGCUCCCCCGGCAGCCUGAAGAAGCUUCAGAUCUGGACGAGGAGGUGCCUUUUCAGCCAGAGAGACCCCUCUGCAAGAAAUUGGAUGUGACCUGGCCCCCACCCAGCCCGUCUGAGCCCUGCCAGGUGAACGGCCUCCACCAGCUGGAGAGAAGCCCUCGGAGUCGUCAAAAGAGUCCCUUAAUCCAGCGCUGGGAGUCGGGGACUGUUGGCAGCCAGGAGAGCCAGGAUUAGAGGCUGGCUGUGGCAAGAAGAGGACCGGGGCUGCAGCUGGAAGACUCCUGAGGCUCACAAAUGCCUUCCCCCAA